UCAGCUGACCCCGUGGCAGCUCCAGUUCCGAGGAGGAUGUGGUCCUGUCCCCAGCUCUGCUCCUGACACCUGAAGGUCACCCAGCAAGGAACAACCUCAGCCCACAGUGAUGCUGAAGCCACAGUGGAACCUGUUGCGCCAGUGAUUGAGGAAGGCUCCAAGGGCCAGGGUGACAGGCAGCGGGGGCAUCUUCUUCUCCAGCACAGCACCUACGCACCAGUUACUAUCCACCAAGCCUGCAAGGGAAGGCAUAGCGACUAGGUUCCGUCACCGGCCUUGGAGAAAAGAAGCUGCAGAAGUUGUGUCUUGUAGCCUUGUGUUUGCCUCAAACUCCACUCCAACCUGAACCUGAGAAACAUGGGCAAGGAGAGGAGAUCC